rnacentral:pre_miRNA from 1 species
GCCAUUACCUCACAGUCACGUGGUCUCUGCGGUACAACGUGUGAUGUGACGUAGUGGAAG